GAUGAACGCUGGCGGCGUGCCUAAUACAUGCAAGUCGAGCGAACGGACGAGAAGCUUGCUUCUCUGAUGUUAGCGGCGGACGGGUGAGUAACACGUGGAUAACCUACCUAUAAGACUGGGAUAACUUCGGGAAACCGGAGCUAAUACCGGAUAAUAUUUUGAACCGCAUGGUUCAAAAGUGAAAGACGGUCUUGCUGUCACUUAUAGAUGGAUCCGCGCUGCAUUAGCUAGUUGGUAAGGUAACGGCUUACCAAGGCAACGAUGCAUAGCCGACCUGAGAGGGUGAUCGGCCACACUGGAACUGAGCCACCGUCAAGACUCCUAAGGGAGGCAGCAGUAGGGAAUCUUCCGCAAUGGGCGAAAGCCUGACGGAGCAACGCGGCGUGAGUGAUGAAGGUCCUCGGAUCGUAAAACUCUGUUAUUAGGGAAGAACAUAUGUGUAAGUAAAUGUGCACAUCGUGACGGUACCUAAUCAGAAAGCCACGGCUAACUACGUG
rnacentral:rRNA from 1 species